UUACACAUGCAAGUCGAACGGUAGGGGGAGCAAUCCCCUGAGAGUGGCGAACGGGUGAUUAAUGCAUCGGAACGUGCCCAGUCGUGGGGGAUAACGUAGCGAAAGCUACGCUAAUACCGCAUACGACCUGAGGGUGAAAGCGGGGGACCUGCAAGGGCCUCGCGCGAUUGGAGCGGCCGAUGUCAGAUUAGGUAGUUGGUGGGGUAAAAGCCUACCAAGCCUGCGAUCUGUAGCUGGUCUGAGAGGACGACCAGCCACACUGGGACUGAGACACGGCCCAGACUCCUACGGGAGGCAGCAGUGGGGAAUUUUGGACAAUGGGCGCAAGCCUGAUCCAGCCAUGCCGCGUGCGGGAAGAAGGCCUUCGGGUUGUAAACCGCUUUUGUCAGGGAAGAAAUCCUUUGGGCUAAUACCCUGGAGGGAUGACGGUA
rnacentral:rRNA from 1 species